CCAGGAUGAGCUAAACCUAGGCUAAAUAACUUUAUUGCCAAACUAUACAACUUUAAGGCUGGGAUAAUAUAAAGUAAUAUGUAUGUAGUGCACUUUAAAUUUCACGGGUGUAAAAUGAACGUCUAGCCAGAAACUGAAAUUUAAAUCCAAAACUGUGCCAUACAAAGUCGUCAAGAACGAUAUAUUAUUCUUACAGAUCUGAACUUGGGGAUCCACAAAGUGACAAAUAAAUUUUAUAGCACAAUAAAUAAAUCGUUUUUAAUUUAUUUUAUUACAAUUUUAAAAAUGAAACCGGGCCAGGUACAAGUCUCUCUUUAAGCACAAAGUUGCCAAAAAUUUCUACGAAGGAUUUCUACUGUAAUUUAUCUAAGGUAGACGUUUAGCAAAAUCGUCUGAAAAGUCUGAAAUAAAGUUGUUUCUAAGAUUUUAUCACGAUCCUAUCAGUGUUUUAAAAAGGGUAGGGGUUGAGGUUACAGGAUCUCAAGUCGAAACUAUUUCCAAGCUUGACAUUAAGCAUCAGAAUAGCAGAGACAAGACGGUCGCCUAUGUAUUUAUGUAAGUCAUUGGGAGACAAAUUCAUGUCCAACUCCAAAUGAAGUCAGCGUUCAUCCAAACCAAAUAAAUAAACCAACACCGAUUUUAUGGCACUGUUAUUGUGACUAAACCUGCAUGGGUUGAUGACUGAAACCUGAAAAUGGACUUUCUACAUUUUUGUGGUUUCCUUCAACAUUAAGGAUCUCAAAAAUCCUUCCUUGUUUAUGUUUCUGCCAGUCUUCUUAUCCCAAAGUUUGAGUAAGAUUUUAAAGCUUGGAUCCCGAAGAAGUAAACGUAAGUAGUAAGGAGUGCCCUAUAUGUGUAGUUCCAUAGUUAGUGUAACGGUACACAAAACAGACGCACAUCUCAUGUACGUAUACGUAGGUUAAUGUGUAGGGUCGUAACUAUCAAGAAAUCUAUCGCUGCUACAGAAAUCUAGACCCUAUGGAUUGAGAUUGAUGAGAGCAAAGUAAGGACUCUGCCCCUCGGUCAUUAAAGUACCCUUCAAUUUCUUCACAAGGCAUGGCUGGAAGCAGAAGAAAUGGCGCCUCGAAAACAUCAACAACCAGCAACAGGCACACAAUGAAGGACCCUUUCAGGAUGACUGCUACUACGCCAGGCAACCAUCGUCCUCCUCCUUCUCGCCCACAUAAAAUUUAAAAUCUGGCAAGGCUUCUAUUUCUCAGCUUUCAAAAUCAAGAUUGACUCCUGCCUUUCUACCCGGCCCUUUUCCAAAGCUGUGUAACAGAUAUUAUACGAUGCCUCUCUCCCCUCCUAAAAUUGGAUUCAUUACAUAAGAAGCGGAGCAAAUCCAUCCAUCGUCUUGAAGCACACGCCUCAGACAGACAGAAGGGAAAUGUGUGUGGAAACUUAAACCAAAAUACACAAAAGAUGAUGCACUUUGAAACAGGCAGGAAAGAAAACUGUCUGUAAAAUCACAACUUUUUUUAGCAGCAAUAAAAUAAAUUUUAAAUUUUAAUUA